UUCAGGUGGAAGUGGUUGUUAGCCACAUAAAGGUAUGUCCUAAAUCUCAAGAUGAUGUGGUUUCCUGAGACUCAGGAACUGAAAUAACUGCCUGAAUGAAGUAAGGAGCCUAUCUAGUUUGAAGAUUAAGUUAAUAUUGUGUCCAAGAAAACCUUGCCGGUCCAUUGGAGGUCACUUGGCAGUGCCACCCACCCACCCCUAUCACCAGUGGAGUAACCUUGAAAAUCAGGUCCUAAAAGUGUAAAUAAUAAUGGAGAUGGCCUGGUUGGAACAAAAGGAGGAAAAUUCAAGAUAAACAUCUAGUAUAGACAAAUAUGGUCUAUUUGAGCUUUAAAAUCACCUGGAACAUAAUCUACCACACUCCUGCCAACAUUAAUUUGUUAUUGCAGACAUUCAUGUCUCUCACAACCAUAGCCUCUCUGUCCACUUUAUAUUUACCUAAUUUUCAGCUGACAGUGUCUUUACAGAACUGAGCAAGUCAGUAGCAUGUUGCAAGUACCAUCAUCAUUGCUAAACUACAGUAAUGAAUAUGAAGCUUUCCGUCUACUGUAUCUACAACACAGCUGGUAAUGCCUUGUUGUGGUAAUGGGAGUGAAAGGUGUGGUACUGGAGUGAAGACUCCAUAUACUAUUCACUGCACAAAGAUUCUGGGGCAUUAUCACUUGGCAAGGAAGCAAUUUAGCCCUCCCACAUAGAAAAACAUCCCUUAACCUGACAGAUCCCGGGAAUCUGCAGAUGGCUGCAGCCACCUGUGUGGAUGACUCAUAUUUCUGCAGUGGCUCCUUACCAGCAUAGUCCCAAUUUUUCCUGUCAGUCCCUGCAUGAGGCAACAGCAGACAAAUCAGUAUAGUCUGGGGAUGCAUUAGCUUUUCCAACUAAUUUCUGAGAGGCCAAAGUGGACCUAUUUAUUGAUGUGACAGGCAAGAUCAGCACUCAGGAUCUCAAUAUCAUGCUGUUAGGCAGGAGGACAUGACACAAAAUUAUAUACAAUGCACACAAACAUAAUGGACAUACAAAAAUUACUGAUUUAUACACACACACAGGUGAACACCCACUCAGGUUACAGUGUGUUAAUGUUUGGGUGUGCUUGGAAUGCUU